rnacentral:rRNA from 1 species
UGCAGAGGAGCCAAGCGUUGUCCGGAUUGACUGGGCGUAAAGCGCACGCAGGCGGAUGCGCGCGUGGGGUGUGAAAUCUGGCCGCUUAACGGCCAGGCGCCAUCCCAUACGGCGCGUCUGGAGUGAUGCAGAGGUCGAUGGAAUUGCCGGUGUAGUGGUGAAAUGCGUAGAGAUCGGCAGGAACACCCAGGGGGAAACCAGUCGACUGGGCAUCUACUGACGCUGAGGUGCGAGAGCGUGGGGAGCAAACAGG